UACAGAGGGUGCAAGCGUUAAUCGGAAUUACUGGGCGUAAAGCGUGCGUAGACGGUUGCAUAAGUCGGGUGUGAAAGCCCCGGGCUCAACCUGGGAAUUGCAUUCGAGACUGCGUAGCUAGGGUGCGGAAGAGAGAAGCGGAAUUUCCGGUGUAGCGGUGAAAUGCGUAGAUAUCGGAAGGAACACCAGUGGCGAAAGCGGCUUCCUGGUCCAGCACCGACGUCAGGCACGAAAGCGUGGGGAGCAAACAGGG
rnacentral:rRNA from 1 species